rnacentral:rRNA from 1 species
AUGCCGUCGUCGCAAGCCCUAGCGCUCGUCUCGCUCGCCCUCCUGGUCUGCUGCAGCUCCCCCCUCCUCGCCCAUGCACAGACGCCGGCGGCCGACGACGUCUGCGCCAGCCUGGCCACGGACGACGCCUGCCACAACGUCCCCAAGGCGCUCCGCCUGAAGCUGAUCGGCAUCCCGACCAUCCUCGUGGCCAGCGUCAUCGGCGUCUGCCUGCCGCUCUUCGCCAAGUCGGUGCCGGCGCUCCAGCCCGACCGCAACCUCUUCUACGUCGUCAAGGCCUUCGCGUCGGGGGUCAUCCUCUCCACCGGCUACAUGCACGUGCUCCCGGACUCGUUCAACAACCUCAACUCGCCGUGCCUCCCCGAGAAGCCGUGGCGGCAGUUCCCCUUCACCACCUUUGUCGCCAUGCUCGCCGCCGUCUUCACCCUCAUGGUCGACUCCCUCAUGCUCACCUUCUACAACCGCAAGAAGAAGGGUGGCGCUCCCCAAGACGCCGGGGCUCCCAGCAGCGCCGCCGUCGCCAAUAUCGAGAGCCCGGAGCCGGAAGCGCACUGGCACGGCCACGGGACGGCGUUGGCCAAGCCCGACGACGCCGAGGCCGGCCAGAUGCAGCUCCGCCGGAACCGCGUCGUCGUUCAGGUUCUGGAGAUGGGCAUCGUGGUGCACUCGGUGGUGAUCGGGCUGGGCAUGGGCGCGUCGCAGAGCGUGUGCACCAUCCGGCCGCUGGUGGCCGCCAUGUGCUUCCACCAGAUGUUCGAGGGGAUGGGCCUCGGCGGCUGCAUCCUCCAGGCGGAAUACGGCACCAAGAUGAAGGCCGGCCUCGUCUUCUUCUUCUCCACCACCACGCCCUUCGGUAUCGCGCUCGGCCUCGCGCUCACCAAGGUGUACCAGGACAACAGCCCCACCGCGCUCAUCGUCGUCGGCCUGCUCAACGCCGCCUCCGCGGGGUUGCUGCACUACAUGGCGCUCGUCGAGCUCCUCGCCGCCGACUUCAUGGGGCCCAAGCUGCAGGGCAGCGUCAGGCUCCAGCUCAUCUGUCUCACCGCCGUCCUCCUCGGCGCCGGCGGCAUGUCCGUCAUGGCCAAAUGGGCGUGA